rnacentral:rRNA from 1 species
AUUGAACGCUGGCGGCAUGCUUUACACAUGCAAGUCGAACGGCAGCACGGGCUUCGGCCUGGUGGCGAGUGGCGAACGGGUGAGUAAUGCAUCGGAACGUGCCCAUUUGUGGGGGAUAACUACGCGAAAGCGUGGCUAAUACCGCAUACGCCCUGAGGGGGAAAGCGGGGAAUUCUUCGGAACCUCGCGCAAUUGGAGCGGCCGAUGUCAGAUUAGCUUGUUGGUGAGGUAAAGGCUCACCAAGGCGACGAUCUGUAGCGGGUCUGAGAGGAUGAUCCGCCACACUGGGACUGAGACACGGCCCAGACUCCUACGGGAGGCAGCAGUGGGGAAUUUUGGACAAUGGGGGCAACCCUGAUCCAGCCAUGCCGCGUGAGUGAAGAAGGCCUCGG